CUUUGCCCUCUAUAAAAGGUCCACCGUGAUAUGCUGCACGGGGCAUGAGUUUUUGCGCAACGUGCGCGUAAGUCGCGUCUGGAUGGCAGUGUUGUGCGCGUAUUGAAGUCCCGUCAUUCUGAUGUGAUGUGAUUCGCAAAGCAAACAUUUGGACGCAAACUCAGCUACUCUGCUUCUGCGCCAGUGUUAAAGUGUCUUAACUCUUCCCCCUGGGAUUUCAGAUCUGGAGCUUCUAUGAGGGGUAGGACAUCUUAAGGAUGUCUUACUCUGACACAAUUGGUUCAAACCCACAUCCGGACACCCUAAACACUGCACUAUCCUACUACCCUGGUUUCCUAUUCAUGUUUCCUGUUCACCAACCCACCCCUCCUCACCUAAAGGCCUUUACCCCAUUGGGGUCGACAUGAGGUAAGCAGGCUGAGGAGGAGGCAGUGAGUUUAGCAGAGGCUAGGCUAAAGAAGC
ensembl:lncRNA